UCCCUCUCAGGAUCACACCUGGAGAGUGUCCAGUACUCUACCAGUCUUGACUAUGGGAGGGAGAGUCAAGAGGAGGCAUACCCACUCCAUUUCUAGCUGGGACAGUGGCUAGUGAGUGGAAAGCAAUCUGCUACAAGU
rfam:Ornithorhynchus anatinus chromosome 3, whole genome shotgun sequence.